AUGUGGGAUCUUCCCGGACCGGGGCACGAACCCGUGUCCCCUGCAUCAGCAGGCGGACUCUCAACUACUGCGCCACCAGGGAAGCCCGGAGCUUGCUCUUAGACAUGUUAAGUUUCAAGGUCGAGUGGAGACGCCGGGCAAGCAGUUAGUUAUCAGCCUCAAGUCUGGGCACAAACAGGUUUUGGAGUCAGAAAAAUCUGGAUUCAGAUCCCAGUCUGCCACCUACUGUAUGACCUUCUGUGAUGGCACGGAGAGCCUCGGGCACCUUCCCCAGAAAGAACCCAGGCUGUGGGACCCACUAGACCCCUGGUGUAACCUUCAGAGGCCUUUAGGAAGAUGUGGUCCCCUCGCCCGUAGAAGAUUUUGAGCGUCGAGGAGUCUGGGGUCCAGCCGAUGACAUCCCCGCAGUAGCAGUUGAACACCACCUCCUUGGUACAUCCCCACCCCACUGAGCCUGAGCCUGGUCAUGUGACUUGAUGUGGACAAUGGCUUUCGAGCAAAGGCACAAAUGUGUGUGUGGACCAGGCCUGCCUCCUAUGCACCUGCCCUCGCCGUGACGUGAACAUGCCCCUACUGGUCCAGGAGGGUGAGGACACCUGGAGCAAACCUGCAGCCAGGGCCAGCCAGACCUCAGCUGACCUGCAGGUGUGUGAGCCAAGAAGAAAUGAUAAUGUUUGUGAGCCACUGAGCUUUGGGGUGGCUUGUUAAGCAGCAGUAUUGUAGGAACACCUGAGUGACAUGGAACGUUCUGUGAGUUACUCCUUUCACACACUUGUGUAAGACCAACACACUGUGCAAAUCAUCUCUACAAAGGCUGUUCUGAAAACUCAUUGUAUGGGGAAGUCAGGAUGGGGCUCUUCCUACUUCAGUUUUGACUGAGAUGCUAUUAUGAUCGAAAUCAGAUAGCAACUGGGUGAGAAAGUAAAAAGGAAAUGAUCUAAAACCUGUUCCCCCAAAUAACCUUCUCACCCACUAUGCAAAUUAGAGAGGGAAGAUCUCAUUGGGAGGAAAAUCUUUGGAGAAAGUGGCCCCAUGAAUAGGGGCUGUCCCUAGGUGACCCUUAUAUUUGGGAGGAGACUUGGGUCUGCUCCUGCCUGGGAGAUCUAGAAGGUGGGCAGGGAGCCCCCGCAGAGCCCAGAGAGCACGCAGCCAGCUGUGACCAGAGCCCCAGUGACAUUUCCCUGUCUCCCGUUUUCUCCUUGUGCUCCAACCCUGGACAGGUCAGAAACUGGCAGUGAGCAGGCCUGGGAGAGGGGAAGUGCAAGGCGGAGAAACAGAGGACAGGGAAGCAGGCUCCCCAUCCACCGAGGUUCCCAGGCAGAGGCAAUCCUGAGCUGGGAGGCAGGAGAUUUGCUGAUAAGUCAAGUUUAGACUUGAUGAACCUCGUUUGUGACAUUCGAGACUCAGUGGCUGGCUACAAGUUAGACGAUUUCUAGUAUUAGGCAGAAAGGCUAUAGCACCUGCCAGAGUGAACACCCAGGGUGCAGGGGAAGACAACUCUCAAGGAAAGACAUUUAAAGGGGCUCCAGAGACACCAUGAGUUGUGCUGUUUACAUAAUGACGAUUAAAAAACAGUAUGAGGUGCUGGAAACGAGGUUUUUCUUAGAGAGUACUGCAUUCACCUUCUAUAAAAAUGUCAGCUUGUGAUUACGGUGCUGGGAGAGGUUUCAUACCAUAAGACAAUUUUUAAAAUAAUGAGAUUCUUGAUUAAAACCUGUUUUGUGAAACCCAAUCACAAUGAAAGGCUUGUUCAGGUUUCGACUCCCAAGCUCCCACCCAACUUGACAAGACGACAGGGUGACAUUCAUGCAUUUGUUUGACCAGCGCUUCUGGGACGCGCCCCCUCUUGGGCCCUGGGGAUUUAGUGUUCCGGGAAGGCCGCUGUGAGGAAGAGAAAUUACACUGGGAUCUGCAGCUGAGUAGGAGACAGAGCAAGAGCUAAGGGAAGGGCCGUGCAGGCAGUGGGCACGGGAGGAACAAGGCCCGACAGGAAAGAGCACGCGCAGGGCGAGGUGAGGCCGGGGUGCCCGGAGCCCAGGCAGUGAAGGGUGGAAGGCUGAUGAGGUCACCAGGGACCAGGCCAGGCAGGGCCCUGAUGGCGAGUUAGCGCUUUUCAUCCCGAAACAAGCAACCAUUUUACCAUCUGGGCUGGCUAUUCACCACCUGUGCCCCCAGACGCAGUCUCUGCCAUUUUCUGCCCUGGAAGGUGGGUUUCUACAGGCUGUGCGACCUUCACUGGGUUCCCCUGGCCAGGCUACGGGAAGGUGAGAGGAGAGAGGGUGGAGUAUUUAUUUCUCUUCACUGCCUCCCUGCUGGGCUCGGACGGCGGCAGUGGCUGUAGUCCUGGGCCCUUUACUCAACAGCCACAGCUUCUGCUGUGCAGCCCCUCUCCCAAAGCCAUAGUUCUCCCUAGUUUCCAGAAACUUCUCCCAUUCCCUUCUGACCUCAUCCCUGGGGGUGGGGUAAUGGCUCCCUGCUGUUGCUGGUCCCUGGAUGUCUCAUUUUCCUGUAUUGGUUCCCUUAACAUACCCACACCUAUUAGUCUGUUCAUUAAUCCCUCAGUUAAAACCCAGAGUGGGGGGCACCUGCUUCUUGCCGGUCCCUGAUGAAUGCAGGUGCCAGGCUGACAAUCUGUAAGGAUCACCGUGGCCGCCCCAUGAAGAAAGGGAUGGGCGGGACCAGAGAAUGUGCAGGAGACCAUGGAGGGAGCUACUGCAGACUCAGGUGGGUCAGGCCAGACCCCUUGCUCUCCACCUCCACGGUUCACUGGGCAGUGAAACCUUCUCUACAUCCCGGGAAUGUGUGUGGGCGGGUGCGACCCACCUGGGCUCAGCUGAUGCCCCAGAGCCAGCACAGGUGUUCAAUACCGAUUAAAGUAAUGAUUUAAACUUGAACAGACAGACCAAGAAGAAACAGAUUCCUACCAAUGGGUAGGUUUGACAGAAAAAGGCAUUUCCCGGUGGAGAGGUUCUUCAAAGGCCACACAAACCAGGCAGCUUUUCCUCUGUGGGAAAUCCUGUGGGCGUGGCCUUGCCUCCAGGCAGGUGGAUGGAUAAGACAACCUCGCCAGUCUCUCUACUCUAAUUAAAGCCGUGUUCAGACUGUGCUUUACAGAUGUGAAUGGCUCUGCAACUUCUUCAUUCUGGACGUGGCUGCUUAUAGUGACAGAUUUGGGCUCUUCCCAUAGUCCUGAUUCAUGAUUUUAAGAAUUAUGAAACUGCAAGCUGCCGAAGGUUUCUGGACAAUCAGAACAGCUGGUCCCUCACUUCCCCAGCAGGAGGGAUGGGGUUUCCCCAGCCCACAGGCUGCAGGGAUGCUGGUGCGCUAUGCAGAAAGUACGCACUUGAAGCGAGCGGCAAAGGGCGGCACCUCCUUAUGCAGCCAGGAGAUGGUGCGACCACCAGGUCACCUGGUCGCUGUAGCUCAGUAUUUCUAGAACACUCACAAUUAUUUAUUCAACAACUAUCUUCUCAGGGCCUACAAUGUUUGGGCCAGGCAUGUGUCUAGUUGGCAAAGGCGUCUUUGCGGUCCUCUACAUGGCAAGCGCCGGGCCAGCAUAGAUGUAUGAAGGUGAGUAUGACGUGGGGUUACCCUCGAAGGAGGCGAGAGUCACAUCAACAGUUUGUUCCUACAGGGUGAUGAAUGCUGAGACAGAAACGUGUUUGGAGACACCGGGGCG